rnacentral:antisense_RNA from 1 species
CUGCCUCGCCGAAAUAUUCGCCAUCGCCCAACAGAGCAAUCCGUAAGUCCUCGCCGUGAGGGCCUUUGCUGAUGACCUCAGCCUGUCCGCUGGCUACGAUGAAGAAACGCUGCUUGUCCUUGCCCUCCUCUACGAAGAGUUUAUCGACAUCCACCUCUUUUGCCUCAAAUGAACUGACGAGGCGGUUCAAGAUCUCGUCAUCGAACUCAGAGAACAGGGGAAUGGCUUUCAGGUUCUUUGCCGUAAACGACGGCACGCCGUUGACGUAUUGGAUGGGCAGUCGAUCGUUUUUGCGUAACUCAACCUUUGUGCGGUUCACGCGGAAUGUUCCGCCACUGACCUGUACCCAGGGAAGGAGUUUCAGGAGUAAUCUCGGAGUGAUACUGCCCAUCUGCGGGGCGGUCUUGGUAGUGGUUGCCAGUCUUUUGGCGGUAGC